rnacentral:tRNA from 1 species
CAGGGAGACAACAAAAUGUUUAAUAUUAUUUUGUCACCUUAGGUCGAUCGGUAGCUCACGUUCUUAACUAAUUAAGAAUUUCAAUUCCUAAGUUUUUCUAGGUCACACCCAUUAUUUUUCCUGGGCCAUUAGCUCAGGUGGUUAGAGCGCACCCCUGAUAAGGGUGAGGUCCCUGGUUCAAGUCCAGGAUGGCCCAUAUCUCUAUGUUGGGGGUAUAGCUCAGUUGGUAGAGCGCCUGCUUUGCAAGCAGGAUGUCAGCGGUUCGAGUCCGCUUACCUCCACUGAUUACCACCUCUUCCAUAAUCUGUAGAAAGGAAAUUUUUUGAGUUGUGAUCAACUUCUGAACGAAUCUAGCUUCCUAAUGAAAGCAUUAAGAUGCUGGACUCAUUGAAUUAAUUUCAUUGUUUUCAGAGAACCUUGACAACUGCAUAGAUUAUUUUUAAAGACAAUAAGCAUCUUUAAUGAUGCAGAUUUAUUAUUUGUGCAAAUGCAUUAAUAACAAUUCUAUUAAGCUGAUGCUUCAAUUUUUGAAGUUAUU